rnacentral:rRNA from 1 species
UACAGAGGUCCCAAGCGUUGUUCGGAUUCACUGGGCGUAAAGGGUGCGUAGGUGGUGAGGUAAGUCGGAUGUGAAAUCUCCGGGCUCAACCCGGAAAUGGCAUUGGAAACUACCUUGCUGGAGGAUUUGAGGGGGGAUUGGAAUACUUGGUGUAGCAGUGAAAUGCGUAGAUAUCAAGUGGAACACCAGUGGCGAAGGCGAAUCCCUGGAAAAUACCUGACACUGAGGCACGAAAGUUAGGGGAGCAAACAGG